AUGAAAUAUGUUUUUCCAUUAGACUUUCAAGGAGAGGAAAUUUUUAUGUACACUAUGCCAAGUCUAAUAUGUAAAGCACCCCAAACAAACCAUGGUAGUGUUCCUCACUGCCCAUAUGGGCCCCAUAUAUGGAAUGAAGAUCAUACUGAGGGUGUGCAUGUAGUACAGCAAGACCUGAUCUUGCUAUCUUCCCCCUUGUUGUGCAGGCAAUGUCGCUUUGGGUGCAGAAGCACUGCUCCUGAGAGGACUGAAACCAGACUGUUGCAUCUGAGCCUGAGGAAGAACUGCUGUUGGAACAGAAAAAGGCAGAUGGAAUACUCUGGCAUACAGCCUGUUGACUGGCCAGUGCUUCUUUCUGAAGACAGAUCUUUGAUGGGACACAGUGUGAAGAACAUCAUGCAAUGCACAGUGAUAUAUCACCCUGACCCUAAAACUUAGAGUGCAUCAGACAAUAUUCCUCAGCCGAAUUAUACUCAGCUCAACACAAACAUUUUAAAUAGAUGAACCUCAAAGAAGAAAUGCUGCUCUAAGACAUUUCAAAGGCAUUUGCAAAAAAAUAUGAGUUGGGAUUUUAGAGUUCUUCUUGUUUUCAUUACUCUGUGCUCAAGCAUUGGACAAAUAUCAAAGCUCCCAAAAGCAGCAAGACAACUGGGAUAUUAAAAAAAAAAAAAAAAAAAAAGGGAAAAAGAGCCUUCAAACUAUCCCAUGAAAGAAAAUGUUUUUCUCUGAAGUUCUAGUCUCUAUUGCAAGGUUUCAUUUUUAUUAUAUUUUUAAAUCAAUCUACAGUGAUUCUUUAAUUAUACCGUUGUCAGUAUAGCAACAGUAUAUCCUUAAAGCAUUAUAAAGUCGUACUGAAAUUAAUCUACCUAGAUCCCAGGGUUCCAACUACCAUCUGUAAUCUCAGCAUACAAUGCUCCUUUGUAAUACCCUUUUAAUUUAGCUUUUGGAAAGUCCUCUGUGACAGCCAAACCAAGUGGUUUCAGAGAGUGGCAAUUCUUGAAGCUACUUUUCAUCAAUCAUUUCCACUUUGUUCCCUUUUAAAAAAAUGCAUUCCAUUUUCACUUUAAUUGAGAGGCUGAAAACAUAAGAUGAGGCAUAAAUAACACAGACUGUGUAAAAUAUAUGCCCCUGAUAGUAUCAUACUACAGUUUCUACUGUCUUCAGGAAUGAAAUUGAUUUUUCCAGGUAAUUGAAAGAGUGUUUUUAAUAGCACCAGUUGUUAACUACUGUAUAUUACAUUGAUCCAAAUAGAAUUGUAUGGGACUUUGUCCUUAUCUUCAAUAAAAUAAAUAAAUACAAUACUAGGGCUUCUCUGAAAGUAAUAUCUCCUAUUUUAUGAUGUUGGCCUGCAACAACAGAGGCAGAUGCUGGUGGUAUGGCAGUAGAGGUUGAACCUUCCCACCAGUAUCCUGUUACAUUUUGUUGCCACGUGACUGAUGACAACAGUGGGGCAGUCUGACAAAAAGAGAUCUGACAUAGAAUUGUGUAUGAAGCAAAGGAAUUGAAUUCUUCCAUGUGGAAAACAAUGCACUCAUUGACAUUAAUUAACACUUGCUGAACAUUUACAGAGAGUGAGGAGUGGACGUGAGCGCAGUCAGGUUGUAAGUGAUGCAUUUCAGCAUUGGUGAUAGUGAUAUGAAAGACAAGACACGUUCUGGAUUGUCGUGCACAGCUGUCACACUACAAAAUGAAGAGUAUCUCAAUCAGUUGAUCCCUGUGAAUCAUCAGAUUACAACCAGAGAGCUUUGUGUGAACCUUCAGUGUGUUGAAAAUGAGGGUGGCAACAUUGGAAUAUCCCAAAGUUUUUACUAGGUGAGUUCUAUGAUUACUCACACAGAAACAGAAAGAACACCAUAUGCAAGUUUGUCAGGACCUAUUGAACAAAUGGAUCUUUGGUGGGUGAGAGCAAGGAGUUCCUUCUGAGUACAGCUUCCACUAAGUUUCUUAUUUCUAUUCUGCUGUGUGUAUGCCUGAUACAGAGAGUGUACUGAACAGCAUCUCUCCAGUAUAUUUAUUUAUAGAUUGAUACAUGUUGUGGUCCCAGCAAGGCCCUGGAGCUUAUGAUUCAAGAGAUCCGCUUCUGUGUCUUAGGUUUUUGCAGGUUUAUAGCACCAGCCAAAAAGAGGUACUUAUCCCAGCUUUUAGGUAUCUCAGCAAUGAUUAGGGAAAAGUAGUGUGAAAAACAGCAGUAACUUUCUGCUCUACGCAGAUAACAAGUUAGUUCUUACAGCAGAUGCUAUUGUGUCUCUGUUCAAGGCAGAUAUCUCACACAAAGAUGUCCUUCUCCUUUACAAUUUCUAGCUUGACCUGAGCUUAUGCAGCAUUAUCUGGGCAGCAGUGUACAAUUUUUGGACACCACAGAACAAGCCCACUACCUUAGAGGUUUCAGAAAUUAUAGCAGAGAAAGGGACUGAAUAAGCAAAGAAGGAGAGGAAAAUUGUUUUUGCCUCUGUUCAUGGAGAAAGAAGGCAUCUAAAUGCUGUGCCAGGGAAGGACCAGCACACACUAUGGUCAUUCUCCAGAGAAUCUAAAAGUACAAUUACCUGAAGUCACUGGACAAUAGGGAAUUAGAAAAAUAAAACAACAGAUGAUUUGGCUCUGAACAGCAAGUCUGCUCUAUUAGCACUUCUGUGCUAAUUCCCUCCUCUAUAACUCUGGGAAUGCUUAUCUCACAGGGAUUUGUAGGCUUUUACUGAGCAUUAUACAAAUGCUGUUCCUACAGCACUGAUUUCAACAGUACUAUUUAAUAUGUACAAGCACAUAAGAAGGAGACCCACAGCAAGUGACAUCUGAACCUUAGCAGCUCAGACAGUAACUGCAAGGAGAAAUGCAAUGAUCCCUUUGGUGUGGUUUUCUCCUUCCUCAUACACAAGCACUGGACCAGGGGUUCAGCACUGAGGUGAGAUUGAAGCAACUUCUGUCUCACCCCAGGCUUCCUCCGUGUUGGAACUCUUUACCACAGAAACUGAUUCCCAUUACUACUAAGGCUCAAUGGGAUAUGAAAUCCUCAAAUAGCAGAAACUUUUUGCUUUUAGUAGCCAGACUUGGGCAGAUAGGAAUACACAUAUGUAUGUGUGUUUGUGUAUAAAUGUUUGCUUUGCAUAGUGAAAGAAGAUUUGUAGGUGUACAGAGUGGGAGAGCACUGGUAUAUACUGGCAAAUGUGUGUGACUGUCUGUAGAGAUAUGAUCAUGUUGUAGAAAAAAAAUAAAAUAUUACAUUUGAGAUAAUCAAGUUUUCUUUUAACUAGUACAAUAUAUCAUAGAAAUAAAGUAAUAGCAGAAUCCUUCUGAUGCUCAUUAGCACCCCAUCACAGUUGCUAAUCGCACUCGCUUGUUAAUGAUGAGGACCCUAUUAUUGAAAAAAGAGUAGAAAGUGACCAUAUAUCAUAGCAGAUAAAAGCACCAUACUUCUGUUUGCAGGAUAGAAAGGCACAGGCAAUGCAGUUUUCCAGAACUCUUUUUCCAGUUCUCAUGAUGAUUUUAACGAUGGAUUGAAAGAGAAGUCAAAAUGGAUCUGCCAUGGAAUAAAAUACAUGAUUAUUCAGGACUCUGUGCAGAAGUAUAUGGUAAAAUCUUGUCCAUCACAUCACCAUCGUGUUUUACUGUGCUUAAGAGCUCAAUUAAACCUGAGAAACCUUUUCAAAGUGAAGUUGUUUUUAUAACUGCCUUGAACAGUCUGCCUAGGGAGGUGGUGGAGUCAUCGUCCCUGGAGGUGUUCAAGAACUGUGGAGAUGUGACACUGAGGGAACAGUAGGGAUGAGUUGAAGGUUGGACUUGAUGAUUUUAGAGGUCUUUUCCAGUCUUAAUGAUUCUAUGAUUACACCCUGCUCCUAAGUCAAAACAAUGUCUUCUCUGUCACCUUGGUACAUGUUAUUAACAACUGCCUUCUGAGGAGAGGAAAAAGGAAUUGGGAGAAUGUUUUAUCAGGCAAUUAGUACUGUUAAAGCAUAGAUAUGUGCAUACAUUUAAAUAUUACACAAGCUUAGCAGGAUACAAUAGAGAUCUGUAUACAAUACAUAAACAUGAAAUUAU
ensembl:lncRNA